rnacentral:rRNA from 1 species
AUGCCCCCUGCAUCCAUGGUUCUUCCUCAUCAACCCGCAGGGUACCUGGAGACCCCCGUCGCCGAAAGCUUCAUACACAAGCUUCAGCUUAGCGUCUCCAAGGGCCUUCCUCACGCGGCGCCGGCUCCGGCCUCGAGGACGGACGAGCAUGAGCUGGUCAAAAGUGUCUUCCAAGUGCUCCAGGGUUUCGACACGCCCUUGCUCUACUGGGACAAGAAUGUGCCGGCGUUCUGUGAGAAACCGGGGACGUAUGUGUCGCAUCUGUCGCGGGCGAGCCUCGGCUCCGUGCUCAAGCCGUUUCUGUUCGCCGCGACAUGCUUGAAGCGAGUGGAGCUCUUUGUUGGGAAGGUCAGGUCGUGCGAUCACCGGACUCCCACAUUGAGUGCGUUUGCUAGUGCGGUCGAUUCAUGGCUUAUGAGGCUCCGGGAAGCAGCUCUGAAGGAGGAAGAGAUGUCGUUUGUUUCAGUUGAUCGGACUGUGACUCUUCUGGCUUUAACUGAUUCUAUGUCAAGUUUAUGUUCGGGAGCAGAACAUCUGCAUCAAGUUGUGCAUGGAGCUGUGCCAGAUGGCUUUUGGGAUUCUGGAGCAAACAUGGCAUCUAGUGAAGUGGCAGUCCAUGUUGUGAACCAUCUUUAUAAAAAGUUAAACGAAGUCUGUCUUGUGGAAGAUGGCGAGGGUGAGCCAUAUCAUAUGCUGCUAGUGAUAUUUGCUGGAAGCUUGUUACCUUAUCUUCAGUGCCUUGAUUCCUGGCUUUAUGAUGGUAUUCUUGAUGACCCUUAUGAAGAGAUGUUCUUUUAUGCAAAUAAUGCAGUUACGAUAGAUCAACCGGCCUUCUGGGAAAUGAGCUAUAUGCUAAGAGUAAGAGGAUCACGAUCUGACAAUUCAUCAACUCUAACUGAUAGUGAGUCUAUCAGGACAAAGGAAUCAAGCAAACAGGAACCAAGUAACACAGGAGCUUGCUUGAAAGCCACCAAUCAAGGUUACGUGGAUAUUCUGUGCCCGGUGUUCUUGAAGGAUAUCGCAAGGGCCAUUGUAUCUGCUGGAAAAUCAUUUCAGCUUGUUCAGCAUGCCCAAAGCACACACCAUACUCGAACUAGUCUCACAAGUGGUUUUGACAUUGAUCAGCGUUCCAAUCACAUUACUCGACAGAAUUGGCCAGACAUAUUAAGUUCUGAAAUCCAAAAUGGGCAUCUAAGAUGUGAAGGUGCUCUUACAAAUUCUACAGGUCAGUUUGGACAUGAUGCUCGCGAAAUGGGGGUGUUAACUUUGUCUGAGAUUUUCUUGAUAUGCUUAUCUGGUCUGUUGGAAAAUGGUGACCAUGUUUAUGAAUACUUAAGAAAGCUGCGUGCUGGUAGUGCUCCAGAUAUCCAAGCUUUUUCGGAAUGUAAGAGUAAGGAGGCAUGUGCAGAAAAUAGCUCCGAAAAGACUUGGUUAAAGCUCCUAAGAGAUGCUAUCUCAGGAAGAAAAUAUGAUGAUAUGGAGAAAACCUUGUCCAAAGAUGCUGUUACGAGGGAUCCAAUAUUUGCUCAUGGAUACCUGCAAGAUGUAUCUUCCAAUGCAGUAGAAAUGCCUUUCAGUCCAUGUUGCUAUGAAAAUCCAGCCAUCACUGCUUGCGGAGAUGUACUGUCGAGGAAUCCAAAUUCUUGGAGUGAUUUGAAUAUCUCUACAAGUUUUGACCUUCCUCCGUUGAAUGAUGAUAACAUGCGGAGAGCUAUAUUUGGCGAUCUCCAAUCUGCUGGAACUAGCACCUGUGGCGAUAUACAACCUACAUCAUCUUUUCCCAGACUAGAUGGAACUGAUUUUAAAUUUGGAUUUCGGUUUGAUGAUUUGGAAUAUGUUCGUCAAGAGGAUGAUAGAAGGACCCUCGAGGAACUUUAUGCAUUUCCUACUCUUCUUCCUUGUGCAAAUGAAAAUGCCCCAUUGUCGGAGAUUUUACCUUUGCAGAAAGAUAGUACACUUGCAUCAAGAGUUCUGAAGUUUAUUCAGAGCAUGAGUUUGAAAGACCCUCUGCAUCCAGUGGGUAUUAUCCAAGAAUGCCUUUCUAAAUGUAUAAAGAAACAGGUGGAUCACAUUGGCAAACGAAUCCUGUGCAAGCUAAUGGGUGAAUGGAGAUUAAUGGAUGAACUGCUUGUAUUACGAGCUAUCUAUUUGCUAGGAUCAGGUGACAUGCUGCAGCAGUUUCUGAUAACAAUUUUUGAUAAGCUUGAUAAAGGAAAUUCCUGGGAUGAUGAUUUUGAGUUGAAUACUUUGUUGCAGGAAUCCAUAAGAUAUUCAGCUGAUAAAAUGCUCCUAACUGCUCCAGAUUCGUUGGUUGUUUCAUUAGCAAAGCAUGACACACGAUAUGAUGAGGAAAGUGCACCAACUUCCAGAAAAGGCCGUGCACAGGGUUUCGGCAUCGAUGCACUUGAUGCCCUUAACUUCACGUAUAAGGUGUCUUGGCCUCUUGAUCUAAUUGCCAAUACAGAGGCUCUGAAGAAGUAUAAUAAGGUCAUGGGAUUCUUACUGAAAGUCAAGCGUGCAAAGUUUGUUUUGGACGAAACCCGAAAGUGGAUGUGGAAGGGCAGAGGCAGCACAGCACAUAAUUUUAAACAACACUUAAUAGUAGGGCAGAAGCUCCUGCAUUUCGUCGAUGCAUUUCAUCAAUAUGUCAUGGACAGAGUGUAUCAUAGUGCGUGGACUGAGCUUUGUGAUGGCAUGGCAUCUGCUACUACAUUGGACGAGGUCAUGGAAGUUCAUGAGGCAUAUCUUUCUUCUAUUCAGAGACAAUGCUUUGUGGCCUCGGAUAAGUUGUGGGCUCUGAUCGCCAGUCGAGUCAAGACUAUACUAGGAUUGGCGCUAGACUUCCACAAUGUGGAGCAAACUCUUGGCACCGGAGGGACCGCCGCAUCUGUUAGGGCAAGAUGCGAGAUGGAGUUGGAUCGGAUCGAGAAGCAAUUCGACGAGUGCGUUGUGUUCCUCUUGAGGAUCCUAUCUUUCAAGCUCAACGUGGGCCACUUUCCUCAUCUUGCGGAUUUGGUCACGAGGAUCAACUACAACCACUAUUACAUGUCUGACACCGGAAGUUUCACUGCGAUCCCUGAGUCCCGCCCUCGGCAGCAGCCUUGA